UACGUAGGGUGCGAGCGUUAAUCGGAAUUACUGGGCGUAAAGCGUGUGCAGGCGGCGCGUUAAGACAGGUGUGAAAGCCCCGAGCUUAACUUGGGAAUUGCGCUUGUGACUGGCGGGCUGGAGUGUGGCAGAGGGAGGUGGAAUUCCACGUGUAGCAGUGAAAUGCGUAGAGAUGUGGAGGAACACCGAUGGCGAAGGCAGCCUCCUGGGCCAGCACUGACGCUCAUGCACGAAAGCGUGGGGAGCAAACAGG
rnacentral:rRNA from 1 species